rnacentral:tRNA from 1 species
GGGCCUGUGCCACAGCUAGUAGCGCACGUGCAUGGCAUGCAGGGGGUCAGGGAUUCGAGUCCCUCAGGUCC